rnacentral:rRNA from 1 species
GGAGGGCAGAGGGAGAAGGAGGCAGAGUAGCUACCUCUCCUGGCAGCCGCGAGAUUCACCUGGGGGCGGCCGCGACUUGAAGACCAGGGCGGCGGUGACGGCGGCGAGGUACAAGAUCAAAGGGGGCCGACGGGGAUGCAGAUCAGGUGGCAGUCGCCAUGGAGUUCGCGGGAGAGAGAGGGGGGCGAGGGGUGGCGGCUAGGUCAGGGAGGGGUGGUCCGAGCGAGAGGAAAAACAGUUCGGGAGAGAGGUCGUUCGAUCCUAGUGUAGUGGGUCGGGAGGAGAUUUUUGCGGGGGUCGAACCGAGCCUCGCUGACCCCAGCUCGCAUGUAGUAUGUGGGUGCUCCAACGAGCAUAGCUUGGGGCCUUUUUAGCAUCAGAUGGGCCCUCUUCUCCCUCCCCACCCACCGCCGCCGCCGCGACGACCAUCCGCCCAGCGCGGCCAUGGUGCCGGCCCUCGCCCUCGCCCCGAUUCGCGACCUCCUCACCUCCUUCAGCCCCUCCUCCGACUUCCUCGCCCUCUCGUCCGGCGACGGCCGCAUCAAGGUAUGGGACGCCGUGCGCGGCCACUUGCAGACGGAGUUCGCCGACAUCCCCGCAGUGGAGGUCGGGGCGCUCCCCGAGACGAAGCGCGGCCACCUCGCCCUCGACUACACCUGCAUGAAGUGGGUACAACUCUCCACCAAGAAGAAGCGGAAGGCUGGGAGUUCGCUGCUCGUGCUUGGGACGGGCAGUGGCGAUGUCCUUGCGCUCGACGUUGCUGCGGGCCACUGGAAGUGGAGGAUCAGCGAUUGUCAUCCUGGGGGUGUGACAGCAGUGGCAUACUCGAGGCAUGGGCGGAGUGUGUACACAGGAGGCGCUGAUGGCAUGGUCUGUAAGAUUGAUGCCUCAGAUGGAUCUGUUGCAGGGAAAUUUAAAUCUUCGUCGAAGGCAAUAUCUGCGUUGGCAGUUUCAUCAGAUGGAACAGUUUUGGCAACAGCAGCUGGUCAGUUGAGGACCUUUGACGCUUCUGACAACAAAAAAAUUCAAAAAUUCUCUGGGCAUCCGGUGAGUUUGUCUUGUAUGCCCUCCUGUACUGUGAUCCUCUUCUGAAUUUGUUAUCUUUUCAAUUGUAUUGCUUUUUCUAAGUGCACACCUGUUGCUAUUGACUACAUGAACAUUUAUGUGUCUGUGAGAAACAUGAUUUUUAGUAACAAAAUAUGUUCUGUCAUCUGGAGUUGGGGAACGCUAUGUUGCCAUUUGGAAGUUGUCUUGUAUGCCCUCCUGUACUGUGAUCCUCUUCUGAAUUUGUUAUCUUUUCAAUUGUAUUGCUUUUUCUAAGUGCACACCUGUUGCUAUUGACUACAUGAACAUUUAUGUGUCUGUGAGAAACAUGAUUUUUAGUAACAAUGGCAAAUAUGUUCUGUCAUCUGGAGUUGGGGAACGCUAUGUUGCCAUUUGGAAGUUGGGCAGUGGUAAAAGUCAGAGUUCAAGCUGUAUACUCUCUAUGGAACACCCAGCAAUCUUUGUAGACUGCAUGUGUUCAGGUACUAAUGCUACUGAAGGAGAAAUAGAUGUGUUGGCUAUCUCUGAGGUUGGUAUCUGCUAUUUCUGGUCUGGAAAUAACAUGGAUGACUUGCGCAAUAAGAAGCCUACUAAGAUUGCCUUGUCCGAGUCCUCCCUUUCAAGAACGAAUCAGGAUUUCAUGAUAUUUGCCGCAAAACUUCAAGGAAUAGAUGGACCUAAUUCGGCUCAUGUCCUUCUGGCAUAUGGAUCCGUGGUGAAACCAUCUUUUGAUAAGCUGCUGGUUUGUUAUGGUAAGGAUGUUAAUUUGGGUGUAUCUGAAGAUGGAGUUCUCUUACCUACAGUUCAACCCACCAUGCACCAGAAAGGUCAAUCUGCUAAAACAAAAGUAACUAUCACUGCUCUAGACCGUGCGAAUGCAGAAGAUGCCAUUCUUCCUCUUCCGAAGCUUCAUACACAAGAAAAGAAAAGGAAACAUGGUGUAACAAAACCGAGUGGCGUCAAACUUGCGAUUGAUAGUGACCUUGGUACCACUUCAAGGUUGACCGAGAAAAGAGUUCCAGUGCAAAGAAUUGAAAACGACAGCAUAUGCAUUGAAGAUCUGAUGAGGAAAUAUGGCGUCAUUGAUCAGAGUCUCGUCGGCCAUCCUGACAUGGCCACUAAAAUCUUAUCAGAUAUGUUUAGUAGCAGUGGCAUAACAAUUGACGCUAAUUUACCCAGCAAGAAGAUUCGAGCACAUCUAAGAUCUUUAAAGCCUGGAGAUGCUUGCAAGCUUCUAGAGAAUUUAGUAUGUGCAUGGAGAUCAAGAUCUGGUAGCGCUGAGCUUGUUUUGCGUUGGAUAUACUGCUUACUGGUAAUUCAUGGUCGUUUUAUCCCCUUGGAGAAAUCAAGAAAACUAAUUAGCACCUGGAGAAGAUGUGUGCAGAAAGAUACACAGCAACUGAAGAUUUACUGAAGCUUUCUGGUCGUCUUCGGCUGAUAAUGGCACAGGUUGACAAGGAUGUGAAAGAUGUAUCGGCGAAGGCCGCAGUCCAAUCUGAUGAAGAGGAAGAAGAUGAAAUUGAUGAAAUGGUGUAUGGUGAAGACGUGGAUUUGUCUGAAAACAGUGACGAUGAUGCUGAGUAGAAUCGCAGCAUUGUUGGCAUGUCUCCGAGAGACUUUUCGACUUUGUGUACGGUCAAGAUGUAUUUUUCAAGCUUAGAGCCCAUAGUCAAGUUUGUAAAACGCGCAACGACGGAAGGUUACACUAAUUUUGACAACAGGAGGUAAUAUCUGAAAGGCAUUUUUGUAUGGAAACUUAUCCUAUCUAUGCAUCCGAG